UUUAUUCGUUUAUGUCACGCUUCCUUUUUCGUAUUCUUGUGGCAUUCUUAUGCUACAUUCAGUUAAUUUCCGGUUCCAGAAUUACUAUUAUGAGCCUUAGUAAAUUUAUUUCCAAUUCUAUCGAAGUUUAAAUUUCCUUCCUUCAUUUUUCCAGUUUAUUUAAUUCCUCAGCUGGCCUUUUGUAAUUUCAGUUAGCAUCAAUCUCUCGCACCUUUUAAUAAUGCUGCGGCGAGCUGUUUCCAUUCAUUUCCUUACAAUUCUUUGCCUUUCUUUGUGUGUCACGUUCAGAGCUCUUUGUGUUUAUGGUGUAUGCUACUAAUUCUGGGAGCUCAAGUUCAACUAUCAGCGCCUUUUCUCUCGCAGUUUGAGUAAUGUAAAAUUGAUAAAUCUUGUAGGAGAUGCAAAGAAGAUUUAUAUGACUAGUUUUGUUCUCAAGAUGAGAUUCCUUUGGUUGAUGCCUUGAGGUGGUUCUACCUUUUUAGCUCUAAUACACUUUUUGAUAACCACUUCAUCCAAAAAGAAAAAGAAAAAAAAGAAAACAUUCUUGGUAACCAAGUUCUAAUACACUUGAUGGACACUCUUUCCAUUCCAAUUACUGUCCUCCAUGGUUUUUAUUUGUCCAAUUGGUCAUUUGGAAAUUAUAAAAAAGAAAAACAUUCUUGAUAACCAAGUAUAAACUCGUGGACAAUGCUCUUUCUAUUCCAAUUAUACGUUGGCUUUCAUUUUUUGAAUUAGUCAUUUGGUCAUUUGAAAAUAAUAUUUAGAGAUUUAGAAACUAGUCAACUACAUGAAAGAUUCCGCAAGUUGUAAUCUUUUGUUCCCAAAUUACUGAAAUGCUGAAGACAAUCAACUAACUAAGAGCAGCUGACAAGAAGAUGGAAAUAGGGGAGUAGAAACUUGUGGAUCAAAAUGGCUGUUCAGUACUUAUGUUGGAAUACCUUGUGUACAUAUAAGGUGUAUGGAUGCCUAGUACUAGCAUAAUUGCUUAGAAUAAUAUAUUAGCUCCUUGGUUGUAGUUGUGAUAUCUGCAUUGUAAGUUCAACAACUUUUGACAAACAAGAAAGGGUAGCUCAAGUUGAAAGCACCCUCCACCUCCAACAGUUGCGGGUUCGAUUCUCCAUGUUAAGAUAUAAAAAAAAGGUUCAAAUACUUAGGACACAGUCUCGCUCUUUGAUUUGUAAAAUUGUUUUGCUAUCCAAAAGAAAAUGAUUCAUGUGAAUAUCUCCUCUUUUUAAACUUGUUAUCUUAUAAGUGGACUGCAGUUACCAAUAUACGAUAGAAGACUUAUUCAUUGAAUACAUAAUGCACCGAUACUUUUAGAAUACAACAAAAAGUAUUUCUAAUUUUUUCAUGAUUCAAGGUGUACUCUGUUGAUAUUUUGGUUUUUGGUUUUUGGAUUUAAGAAUUAGAAGGGCUUGUUGACUGUCUAAAGUCAGUAUGCUGUCAGUAGAAUGGUUGUCGAGCUCCUUCAGCUCAUCGCACUAUGAACUGCCUUGCAAUUUGUUUUAACAACGGAACAUGUAUCAGGUCUAGGAGUUCUAUAUCGAUGACUUUCAAGGAGCAUGCAUUCACGUGUAAGGAUAUGAAGUAAUGCUGUUAUGCUUGUGAAUACUCCUGAUCAAAGGAUCAUUUUUGGUCUUCUUUUAGGGGUGACAGAGCUCCUUUAGUUAAAUAAGCUUUUUUCAAGUUUCUGCUUGCUCUAUGUAUGAAUAUGUUUGUUUGUUUCAGCUGCUCAUGGAUUUUCUUUUCAGAAAAGCCGUGGCGGGGAAAUGUGAAAUGGUUGUUAGAAUGAGUUGGUGGAAUGGUGCAAUUGUUUAAAAAAAAAAUAUAUUUUCUGUUUUAGAAGUAUCCUCAUACUCCGAAUAGAUAAAGCUUGGGUCAAUUGAUUCCUAUUCUCUCUUUCUUUGUUUCUUCUUUUAUGCUUCUGUGUUACUGUUCAUUUUCCUCUCUGUGUUGGAGAGUCCGCCUUUUCUUAGAUGCUAGCGCUUUUUGAUGACUGCAUUUAUACUCUUCACAUCUUUUAUCAUUGCAGCUACCUAUCAAAAUCCUCAAGCAACUCAAGGCGAAAGUGACCCCAAUAAUACAACUGUGCGUAGCUUGUUUUGAAGUAAGUUUGUUUUUCUAGUGUAUGCCCUUCUAACCGUUCGCAUUCAAAUGUGCAGAUAUUUGUUGGUGGUUUGGAUCCCACUGUUGCGGAAGAGCAUUUGCGGCAGGUAUUCUCCCCUUAUGGUGAAUUGGUUCAUGUGAAGAUAGUUGCUGGAAAACGCUGUGGUUUUGUUCAGUUUGGUACUAGGUAAUGUCCCUCUGCAAUUAAAAUGUCUCUUACUAGAUUUCUUGUCCAUGUUCUUUUCUCAUGUUCUAUCACAUGCCAUUUACAGAGCUUCUGCUGAGCAGGCUUUGUCAAGCUUGAAUGGCACACAAUUGGGAGGACAAAGCAUUCGGCUUUCUUGGGGGCGUAGCCCCUCUAGCAAACAGGUUUUUGUCUAUCUUUCUAGUUUUAAACUUAGAUAAAUUCGCUACUGUUUUGACUCUGAUUCUCUAUGUAGACUGACCAGGCUCAAUGGGGUGGUAGUGGUGGCGCGUAUUAUGGGUAUGGCCAAGGAUAUGAGGCUUAUGGAUAUACUCCACCUGCUCAGGACCCUAAUAUGUAUUAUGGAAAUUACCCAGGAUAUACGAAUUAUCAGCAGCCACAGCAGGUAUGACAAAUUUGGCCUUGAAAGUCUCUCUGGCUUUCCAUUUUGGUGUUCUGAUGAGGAACCAAAUAUUGUAUUUUUGGGUAUCAGCAUUUUUCUCUGAUUAUGAUGCUAGUUCAGUAAAUACAUGGGUUUCUACUAGUAGGGGUGGAAAAUGGGCUGGGUUUGGGCGGGUCUAAAUGAGUCGGUCUAAUAAAUGGGUCAUUGCCCAAUCCUGCCCAAAGUUUACUUGGGUCAAGAUGGGCUAAUCAACGGGUCAUAACCCAAUCCGCCUAACUUAACCAAACUUUUGCUGCUUCAUGAUUUUUACACAGAUAAUUUUGCAUUCUUAUUUACUUCACAUGUUAGAUACUCUCAAAUCUUUUUAAUGUAAAAAGAAAAAUGAGAGUUAAGCUGUAAAAAGGUAUAAUACUAAUCAUUUAACUGCAAGCUUUCAACAUGCUUUUUAAUGGUAGAACACAAUUUUUGUUUUAUCUGGUUCCGAUGUUAAUACGUAUUCUAAUUUUUCUUUAUAUAAAGAGAAAAUAGAGAAUAAUGUCAUAACAUGUACACAUUUUAUUAUGUUGUAUUUUUCAGAAAGCAAAAGUUAAUUAAGGUAAUAUUAGUAUCUAAUUCCUAACUUA
rnacentral:lncRNA from 1 species